rnacentral:rRNA from 1 species
AUUGAACGCUGGCGGCAUGCUUUACACAUGCAAGUCGAACGGUAACAGGCCGCAAGGUGCUGACGAGUGGCGAACGGGUGAGUAAUGCAUCGGAACGUGCCCAGUCGUGGGGGAUAACUGCUCGAAAGAGCAGCUAAUACCGCAUACGAUCUAUGGAUGAAAGCGGGGGACAGUAAGGCCUCGCGCGAUUGGAGCGGCCGAUGUCAGAUUAGGUAGUUGGUGGGGUAAAGGCUCACCAAGCCAACGAUCUGUAGCUGGUCUGAGAGGACGACCAGCCACACUGGGACUGAGACACGGCCCAGACUCCUACGGGAGGCAGCAGUGGGGAAUUCUGGACAAUGGGGGCAACCCUGAUCCAGCAAUGCCGCGUGCAGGAAGAAGGCCUUCGGGUUGUAAACUGCUUUUGUACGGAACGAAACGGUCUGGGUUAAUACCCUGGGCUAAUGACGGUACCGUAAGAAUAAGCACCGGCUAACUACGUGCCAGCCGCCGCAGUAACAC